GCGCGAAAACUUUACAAUGCUGGCAACAGCGAUAAGGGAACCUCGAGUGCCAGGUUACAAAUCUGGCUGUCGAGAUGCCUAAAAAGCAUUUCAUAGCAAGGGCCGGGCAAGACCGGUGCCAGCCGCCGCGGUAACACCGGCGGCUUGAGUGGUAACCGUUAUUAUUGGGUCUAAAGGGUCUGUAGCCGGCCGGAUAAGUCUCUUGAGAAAUCUGGCAGCUUAACUGUCAGGCCUUCAGGAGAUACUGUCUGGCUCGAGGCCGGGAGAGGUGAGAGGUACUUCAGGGGUAGGGGUGAAAUCUUGUAAUCCUUGAAGGACCACCAGUGGCGAAGGCGUCUCACCAGAACGGACCUGACGGCAAGGGACGAAAGCUAGGGGCACGGACCG
rnacentral:rRNA from 1 species